rnacentral:lncRNA from 1 species
AAACAUGGAUAAACAUACUAGUAUUUUUCCACAGAGUCAGAACAUAUUGAAUAGCUUAUCUGGGCACACCCGGGAAGAGAAGUAGCUGGCGCCUUAGAGCUCUGCUAGAUAUAACAUCUCAACUAUCAGGAGAAGCAGCGUGCUGUGUGCUAUGAGGACCUAAAGCACUUGUUCAGAGCCAAUUUCUUUGAGGAAUUUGCAACUACCCUGAGAUCUGGAGAAGGACAAGAUUGUAACAGGCAACAGAGAAGAAAGACUACAAAGACCCAAGUCAAGGUCAUGGGCAUUAUGGAUGAAACCAAAGCCUGAAGAAAGGCACUUCUGCUGUCCACCCUGAGAAGAUGCCCCAGAAGGACCUGAACAACAGCUGCUGCAGCUGUCUUUGGCCUUUCAGCCUCCAAAAAGGUGGAACUGACUGUCAAAGGGAGACACACCAGGAUAUUGGUCGUGUUUGCUAUGAAAGAACACUAUAGCUUGCUUCAGUGACUUCAACGUGCAGGGAAGGAUAAGGCAAACAAACUCAACGGGUGCCUUCUGAAGGCUCGACCAGAGAUUGCCAGUGAUGGUUCUUCAGGAGAUGUAGCUGAAAACGGUUGGUGACCAAUCAGUCCUGUGUGAGCACACGAGGUGACCCCAGGUAUUGAUCGUGACCCCAGGCAUUGAUCGUGCACAGUCGCAGGUACCGCACUCGA